rnacentral:rRNA from 1 species
AUUGAACGCUGGCGGCAGGCCUAACACAUGCAAGUCGAGCGAGUGGCGGACGGGUGAGUAAUGUAUGGGGAUCUGCCCGAUAGUGGGGGAUAACUGCUGGAAACGGUGGCUAAUACCGCAUACUAUUGGAUGGACCCAUGUGGGAUUAGCUAGUAGGUGGGGUAAAGGCUCACCUAGGCGACGAUCACUAGCUGGUCUGAGAGGAUGAUCCGCCACACUGGGACUGAGACACGGCCCAGACUCCUACGGGAGGCAGCAGUGGGGAAUAUUGGACAAUGGGCGCAAGCCUGAUGCAGCCAUGCCGCGUGUCUGAAGAAGGCCUUAGGGUUGUAAAGGACUUUCAGCGGGGAAGCGUUACCCGCAGAAUAAGCACCGGCUAACUCCGUGCCAGCAGCCGCGGUAAUAC